rnacentral:tRNA from 1 species
GCUAGUAUGGCAGAGCGGCGAAUGCGCCUGACUGUAGAUCAGGUCUCUUUCUGAGUUAACACCGGUGGUUCGAUUCCAUCUGCUAGCA